GGGGAUCUGCCCGAUAGAGGGGGAUAACCACUGGAAACGGUGGCUAAUACCGCAUAACGUCGCAAGACCAAAGAGGGGGACCUUCGGGCCUCUCACUAUCGGAUGAACCCAGAUGGGAUUAGCUAGUAGGCGGGGUAACGGCCCACCUAGGCGACGAUCCCUAGCUGGUCUGAGAGGAUGACCAGCCACACUGGAACUGAGACACGGUCCAGACUCCUACGGGAGGCAGCAGUGGGGAAUAUUGCACAAUGGGCGCAAGCCUGAUGCAGCCAUGCCGCGUGUAUGAAGAAGGCCUUCGGGUUGUAAAGUACUUUCAGCGGGGAGGAAGGCGAUGUGGUUAAUAACCGCAUUGAUUGACGUUACCCGCAGAAGAAGCACCGGCUAACUCCGUGCCAGCAGCCGCGGUAAUACGGAGGGUGCAAGCGUUAAUCGGGAUUACUGGGCGUAAAGCGCACGCAGGCGGUCUGUUAAGUCAGAUGUGAAAUCCCCGGGCUUAACCUGGGAACUGCAUUUGAAACUGGCAGGCUUGAGUCUCGUAGAGGGGGGUAGAAUUCCAGGU
rnacentral:rRNA from 1 species